CUCGGCUCUCCCGGGCAGGGCUCAGUCACCCCUUCGCCUCUCUCCGACGUAGAGAUGAAAAAAGAUGAACAAACCUUGCCAGCCAGGACAAAAACCUGCUUGCUUUCCUUGAAAGAGGGCAGAGAGGGAGAUAUGAGACCCAGUCUCAAAAAGCAACAUCAACCUUGGAGAGCAGGUCAUUAAAGGUAAUGCUACACGGUCAUCAAUAGGCAGGUGUGCUGUUCGUUUAGUGCGCAGGCCCCAUGACUAUCUGGUGGACAUCUGGAUGACUUUUUGCAGGCACAACCUGGAGGUUCCAGCCAUGUUGCAAGGCAUAGAGACAGCUGCAAACCGGCAAUCCCUCUGAAGACUCUCUCCAGUUGAUAGAACUGACAAGAGCUUUUUUGCAUCAUGGCCUACAUUGGAAUGAAAUAAUCAUCAGAGUCUGGGAACUGGAGUGGCUUCAAAAUGCACCUUCACAACUUGAAAUCAGCUUAAAACAAAAUAGUUCCAUGUCUUUAUAGUUAUGUAGCUGUACACAGCUUCCACUGGAGGCAGCCAUGAAUCAAUAUAAAUUGUGCAGAAUCGCAGUGAAGUCAACUUAGUUACAGAACAGAAAAAAAAGAUUUUUUUUUCCUUCCCCCCCCCCCCCCCCCUCAUGUGCAUUGUCUGUAUAAAUGCAAGAUCUUUUAGAUCUUGUAAGGCCAUGGACAAAAACUGUCAAUAUCUUUAUUUUUAGCCCAAAAGAAAAGAAAAGGUUAAAAAAAAAAUUUAUUUGACCUUUGCCUCACA